AUGGCGAAGCCGACCUCGACGGAGGAUCUGAGGGGAACGAAGGAAGGGCGGGUAGGGUUAGGGUUUGCAGAUGGGAAGGGAGAGGUAGAAGGGAUCAGCGGUGAUGUACCGGCGUCAAGUAACACUACCACGGGUAAAGGCGAUGAUGUGAGGAGAGAAAAGGAGGAGGUGGAUCCAGGCCGUGAGAUCGAAGAGGAUUGGGACAAUAUUGGCCAUGACCCAGAGCUGGAGGAUGCAUUCGAAGGGCUGAAGCUGUAUGGAGAAGAGGAGGAAGAUUUAUACCUCUCGGGUGAAGUAGAUGAUCUAAUCAAGGAGGUGAGAUGGUUAUGUCUGUUUAGGGUUCAUACUAUGCGGCCGUUUAGCCAUGCGGCGCUGCUAAACUCUUUGAGGAACGCAUGGUCGUGUGCACAAGGAGUCACCUUCAAUAUCAAAGGGCCUAAUUUGUUCCUAGCACAGUGCCAUUGCUUGGGGGAUUGGAAGAGGGUGAUGGAAGGAGGGCCAUGGCAAUUCAGAAGAGAUCCGGUUGUCAUCGUUGAGUAUGAUGGAUUCACAAACGUUGCUGAAUACGCCCUAGACAUGUAUCCAUUAUGG
rnacentral:rRNA from 1 species